AGCGAACGCUGGCGGCAGGCCUGACACAUGCAAGUCGAACGAAGUCUUCGGACUUAGUGGCGGACGGGUGAGUAACACGUGGGAACGUGCCUUUAGGUUCGGAAUAACUCAGGGAAACUUGUGCUAAUACCGAAUGUGCCCUUCGGGGGAAAGAUUUAUCGCCUUUAGAGCGGCCCGCGUCUGAUUAGCUAGUUGGUGAGGUAAAGGCUCACCAAGGCUACGAUCAGUAGCUGGUCUGAGAGGAUGACCAGCCACAUUGGGACUGAGACACGGCCCAAACUCCUACGGGAGGCAGCAGUGGGGAAUCUUGCGCAAUGGGCGAAAGCCUGACGCAGCCAUGCCGCGUGGAUGAUGAAGGUCUUAGGAUUGUAAAAUCCUUUCACCGGUGAAGAUAAUGACUGUAGCCGGAGAAAAAGCCCCGGCUAACUUCGUGCCAGCCGCCGCCGUAAGAC
rnacentral:rRNA from 1 species